GACGAACGCUGGCGGCGUGCUUAACACAUGCAAGUCGAACGGGUCUGCCCUGUUUUUUGCGGGGUGGGUCAGUGGCGAACGGGUGAGUAAAAGGGAGGAAACCGGCCCCUCCCUUCUGAAAAACCGCUGAAAAGGGGGGCAAUUACGGGGGUUUCUGCCGUUGCCGAAUGGUUUGGCGGGGAAGGAUUAACUUUGGGGGUGUUUGGGUGGGGAAGGGGCUCGCGGCCUAUCAGCUUGUGGGUGGGGUGAUGGCCUGCAAAGGCUUUGACGGGUAGCCGGCCUGAGAGGGUGGGCGGUCACACUGGGACUGAGAUACGGCCCAGACUCCUGCGGGAGGCAGCAGUGGGGGGUAUUGCACAAUGGGCGGAAGCCUGAUGCAGCGACGUCGCGUGAGGGAUGGAGGCCUUCGGGUUGUGAACCUCUUUCGCCGGUGAAGAAGGUCCUGCUCUUUGUGGUGGGGUUGACGGUAGCCGGGUUAUGAAGCGCCGGCUAACUACGUG
rnacentral:rRNA from 1 species